rnacentral:rRNA from 1 species
CCUACGGGAGGCAGCAGUGGGGAAUCUUGCGCAAUGGGCGAAAGCCUGACGCAGCCAUGCCGCGUGAAUGAUGAAGGUCUUAGGAUUGUAAAAUUCUUUCAGUAGGGACGAUAAUGACGGUACCUACAGAAGAAGCCCCGGCUAACUUCGUGCCAGCAGCCGCGGUAAUACGAAGGGGGCUAGCGUUGCUCGGAAUUACUGGGCGUAAAGGGAGCGUAGGCGGGUUAUCAAGUUGGAGGUGAAAGCCCAGGGCUCAACCUUGGAAUUGCCUUCAAAACUGAUAGCCUAGAGUAUGAUAGAGGUAAGUGGAACUCCGAGUGUAGAGGUGAAAUUCGUAGAUAUUCGGAAGAACACCAGUGGCGAAGGCGACUUACUGGAUCAUGACUGACGCUGAGGCUCGAAAGCGUGGGGAGCAAACAGGAUUAGAUACCCUGGUAGUCCACGCUGUAAACGAUGAUUGCUAGUUGUCGGACGGCAUGCCGUUCGGUGACGCNGCUACGACAUAGACAUCCGCCGUGGGAGGUACGGUCGCGAGAGUAAACGUAACGUAAGUAAGUUAGACGUCGUUGAGAGUUGCCGACGGCGACGACGAGGGAGGAGG